UUACGACCAUAUCAGGUUGAAACACCGGUUACCUUAAAAUCACCGAAGUUAAACAACGUCGAGCCUGGUCAGUACCUAGAUGAGUGACGGCUUAGUAAUAACAGGUGCUGUAA